AGAGUUUGAUCCUGGCUCAGGACGAACGCUGGCGGCGUGCUUAACACAUGCAAGUCGAACGAAGAGCGAUGGAAGCUUGCUUCUAUCAAUCUUAGUGGCGAACGGGUGAGUAACGCGUAAUCAACCUGCCCUUCAGAGGGGGACAACAGUUGGAAACGACUGCUAAUACCGCAUACGAUCUAAUCUCGGCAUCGAGGAUAGAUGAAAGGUGGCCUCUAUUUAUAAGCUAUCACUGAAGGAGGGGAUUGCGUCUGAUUAGCUAGUUGGAGGGGUAACGGCCCACCAAGGCGAUGAUCAGUAGCCGGUCUGAGAGGAUGAACGGCCACAUUGGGACUGAGACACGGCCCAGACUCCUACGGGAGGCAGCAGUGGGGAAUCUUCCGCAAUGGACGAAAGUCUGACGGAGCAACGCCGCGUGAGUGAUGACGGCCUUCGGGUUGUAAAGCUCUGUUAAUCGGGACGAAAGGCCUUCUUGCGAAUAGUUAGAAGGAUUGACGGUACCGGAAUAGAAAGCCACGGCUAACUACGUGCCAGCAGCCGCGGU
rnacentral:rRNA from 1 species